rnacentral:tRNA from 1 species
GAAAAAUUAGUUAAAUUAUAACAUUAAUAUGUCAAAUUAAAGUAAUCAUAUAAAAUGAUAUUUUUCU